rnacentral:tRNA from 1 species
UUCCCAGUGGCGCAGUGGUUAGCGCGCGGUACUUAUAAUGCCGAGGUUGUGAGUUCGAUCCUCACCUGGGGAA